UCCCUUGUCGCUCAGCUGGUAAAGCGUCUGCCUGCAACGCAGGAGAACCAGGUUCGAUUCCUGGGUUGGGAA
rnacentral:tRNA from 1 species